UCUAGCCAUGCUUGUGCUUAACAAAGAACUGCUGUUUUAGAACUACUUCAAAAUAAUAACAUCAGGUUGACUUGAAAAUAAUACCAGGGUGCAACUGCUAGAAGAUGUGGUGUUUUCAGCUUAAUCAGGUAUAGUGGUAUACUAAGAUGCACAAUGCAUGGCAUAUGAUGAUUUCAGGUGACUUCUUUGAGAUGAUCAUGUAGAUGAGAUCGGAGAUGCUCUUUUUAAAGACAGUGGUCAUCACAAACUACGUCCAAAGCUGAAGGACUCAGCACACGGAGGUGAAACUCGCUAUCAGUGUCAGGACAGCACGAGCAAAUGAGUGUGGUUAUCCUGGUUCUAUUUUUUGAUCUCUUCACCGUUAGUGUCAUCACUGUGCUGCUUACCACAAGAGCUACAAAUACUAAGAAAAGAUGCCAGAAGAGUGGGAUGAGGAAUACCUCUUGGAAGACCCUUCAUUUUCCCUUAUUUCACUGAGUAGCCAGAGCACUCAACACCUCAGUCAUUUUUAUGGACAGAGAAACAGGAGUAAAGAGAUGAGAGUUCAUAGAACUUAAAGGAAAUCUCCAGCAAAAGAU